rnacentral:rRNA from 1 species
CCGCGAACGGCUGAGUAACACGUGGAGAACCUGCCCCCUCCCCCGGGAUAGCCGCCCGAAAGGACGGGUAAUACCGGAUACCCCGGGGUGCCGCAUGGCACCCCGGCUAAAGCCCCGACGGGAGGGGAUGGCUCCGCGGCCCAUCAGGUAGACGGCGGGGUGACGGCCCACCGUGCCGACAACGGGUAGCCGGGUUGAGAGACCGACCGGCCAGAUUGGGACUGAGACACGGCCCAGACUCCUACGGGAGGCAGCAGUGGGGAAUCUUGCGCAAUGGGGGGAACCCUGACGCAGCGACGCCGCGUGCGGGACGGAGGCCUUCGGGUCGUAAACCGCUUUCAGCAGGGAAGAGUCAAGACUGUACCUGCAGAAGAAGCCCCGGCUAACUACGUGCCAGCAGCCGCGGUAAUACGUAGGGGGCGAGCGUUAUCCGGAUUCAUUGGGCGUAAAGCGCGCGUANGCGGCCCGGCAGGCCGGGGGUCGAAGCGGGGGGCUCAACCCCCCGAAGCCCCCGGAACCUCCGCGGCUUGG